rnacentral:lncRNA from 1 species
CAGGCAGUAUGGGCUCUUGGCAAUGUCGCUGGCGACUCUCCGAAGUGCCGAGAUCUCGUCUUGAAUAGCAAUGCCAUGAUGCCUUUGCUAGCACAGCUGAACGAGAAUGCGAAGCUGUCUAUGCUGCGCAACGCAACGUGGACGCUAUCAAACUUUUGUCGUGGCAAGCCGCAGCCGAACUUUGAGCAGGUAUGUGGGUCAUUUGUAGGCAUGUCGAUACAAAUUUGAUCGUUGGUCGGUGUUGUUUCUUGCAGUCGAGACCUGCUUUAUCUGCUCUAGAAAAGCUGAUUCAUUCGACUGACGAAGAAGUCCUUACUGAUGCAUGCUGGGCUUUGUCAUACAUAUCCGAUGGUACAAACGAUAAGAUUCAAGCUGUCAUUGAGGCCGGUGUGUGUCCACGUCUUGUGAGUCUACUCAUGUAAGUCGUGUCUUUAGCUGUGACUUUUAACUGGGCUGACGUUCCUGGUUCCAGGUAUCCUUCACCGAAUGUUCUCAUUCCUGCUCUUCGUACGGUGGGAAACAUUGUGACUGGUGACGAUGUCCAAACGCAGGUAAACUUGAAACGGAACAUCCUAGAUAUUUCUUACGCCUGUCUUUAAAUUUAUUUCCAGUUUAUCAUAAACAAUGGAGCGCUGCCAUAUUUGUUACAUCUUCUUACCAAUGUUUACAAGAAGAGCAUAAAAAAGGAGGCUUGCUGGACAAUCUCGAACAUCACUGCCGGCAACAAGGACCAAAUUCAGGCCGUCAUUGAAGCCAACAUCAUUCCGCCUCUCGUGGAACUUCUUGCCAACGCAGAGUUUGACAUAAAGAAAGAGGCAGCGUGGGCUAUUUCCAAUGCAACCUCUGGCGGUACACAUGAACAAAUCAAGUAGGUUGUCAAUGCGCUGAGACGCUGUAUCUGACUCUGGAGACGCAGGUAUCUCGUGAACCAGGGAUGCAUCAAGCCUCUGUGCGACCUUCUCAACUGUUCCGAUGCCAAGAUCAUUGUGGUGGCCUUGGAGGGCCUAGAAAACAUCCUCAAGGUCGGCGAGACGGAGAAGGACCUGGGAAACACUGGCUCCAUCAACAUCUACGCUAAGUUCAUCGACGAGGCGGAGGGCCUGGAGAAGAUCGAGAAGCUGCAAACCCACGACAACAACGAGAUAUAUGACAAGGUGAUCAAGAUCCUCAACAGCUACUGGGUGGAGGAGGACGAGGAGAACGUCGCUCCAGGUGUAGCUCCGGCCCCCGGACCAUUUGCAUUCGGGAAUCAGCCUACUGUGCCAAGCGGUGGCUUUAAUUUCGGUUGAGGUAUGUCUUUUCCUUUCCCUGGAUCUCUCGAGUGACUGACUUGGUGUUUCUGUGGUAGAAGAACAUCAUCGAGUCGGGAGAAGAGAUUUACUUGGUCCGCGAUGUGAGCAGCAUCCGCGAUCUGUGGCAGACGAAGCUGUGCUGGUGUAAAGUCGAGUUGAGUUUGAGCUAGUCGAUGGUCGACAAGCUUUUUGCAGACCCACCGGGGGAAGGAGAGGGUCUUGUAGAACAGCAGCAAGCUCUUGCUGUCAAAGCAACGUCUCGUAUUUGAGACGGUGCUCUUGUCUUUGUUUAGCCGGACGUGCUAAGUGCGGUGGUCGUUGUUGUGGCGGUGGCGUCUCCUCCUUUGUCCGAGGAUCGUCAUCGCUGCUACUAUUACAAGGAGUGGAUUUUGGGUUAUAAAAGAGUCUAUUACAAAUUCGAUGUAUGCAAGGAUUUAAAUGAAUGAAUGCAUGAAUGAGUUGAAUGUCCUUGAUGCUUCAAGCUUUUUGCAACUCCUUGGAAGACUUGAAGGUUUGGAUCGCCAGCUUUGACUGCGUCGAGGAGGCUUUUGAGAAGAUGCCGGCCAGAGAUGCUGUGGUGAUGUAUGCCCAGACAGGGCAUCUGGAGGCGUAUAAGUCAAUGUAAUGAUCCGAGCUUAUGCCCAGCACGCAAAAGAUUGUUUGGAAGAUGCUUGGACUCUGAUUCUUGCGCUUGCUUCCGAAAAACAUAUAUAUGACACAAACUGGACUCGACUUCACACCAUCACAGCUUCGUCUGCCACAGAUCACUGACGCUAUUCACAUCGCGGACCAAGCAAAUCUCUCUUCUCCUCUCUCCUGCAAACGGGGCAAAUGCAGUCCUGUUUGAAAGGAUGCCUCAAAGAGACGAGGUAAUGACAUGCCCGAGCACGAUGUAGUGGUGACAACCGCAAUCAUGAAAAGCAUAUGCCCGCUCCGGGCAUCUUUACCGUGUGAAUGUUUUCGAGGUGUCCUGGAGUGUGUUGGUUCUUGCGGUGAGCUAGAUCGAGCGCAGCAAAUGGUUGAGUUGACUUUUUAAACCAUUCAUUUAAACCCAUACUUUAUCGAAAUACCCAAGAGACGAUGCUGUGCUGGGGCAUACGGAGCCGAGGAAAUAAGUUCUUUUGAGCAAGGUUAUCAAAGCAAUUCCUCGCAUCAAUCCUUUUGACCCAACCAUAAGCAGGCCGUCACAACAACCACAUUCGUUUGAAUUCCAAUAUCACGCGAGAGACGAGAUAGUCUCAGGGACACAAAAAAUGUUACGUGACCACGAGUCUAAACAAGCUGGUUCUCUCGAGCUCUCCCCGGAAGUACGGUAUUCCAGGCGUCCAAGCGAGGUCACAUUCUUGCAGCCAUGGAGGCUUGGUACCAGAAGGCUUGAGUUUGUUUUGUUCGCUGGAGCCUCUUAAUCCCAGGUCUAUGCACCGCUCUAGCAGAGCUUAGGGAACGCUUGGACUUAAAUAUCUCUGGACAGAUUCUUUGUGUUUGUUUUAGAUUGAUCAUUCAAUCUUGCAACACACUCCCACGCGCGCUGGAGCUGCGCUCGCGAAUCUCGAUUCCAAGCUGCUGCAAGAGAGAGAUCUGCGGAAAGCAUUUGGCGUGCAAGAUCCAACCCGUCGAAGGAAUGCUAAAAAAACGGCGUAAGCGUACCUAAAGACUUGGAUUGGAACUGACAAAGACGAUCUCAGAUAUACACUACGGAGAAUGGUCCAUUGUUGUAAAUUAAUCAACGAUUUUAGUUGAAGCUCCACAAAGGAAGAUUGAAGUUUCAUGGCUUGAAUUCUUUGAAACACUUCCCAGGGCGAAUUCCUCCAUCGUUUUUACAGCAUUGGAGAAUUUACAAUAUUUGAAUUCGUCGUGUUUAGAUCACGAGCAGGGUUUCUGGUGAGCCGUGUCUGGUCUGACGAUCCCACCUGAAGCUACUGUCUGGUAGCUGCCUUGUUCUUUUUGAUGGAAGUCUAUCUUUUCUUGGUACUGACAUGGGUGUUUGUGAAGAGCGAAGCCCUCCGAUCGAAGAGGUCAUCAAGGCAGGCGUGGUUCCUCGAUUUGUAGAGUUUUUGAAGCGCCACGAUUUCCACCAGCUUCAGGUAUGCCCAUUUUUUUUCCUUGCGGUGUUUGGGUCGUUAAUAGGAGUUUUAAUGAGCAGUUCGAAGCUGCCUGGGCUCUUACAAAUAUUGCGUCCGGCACUUCCGAUCACACGACGGUGGUUAUAAACCAUGGAGCUGUGCCUAUCUUCGUGCAGCUUCUUUCAUCUCCCAGUGAGGAUGUCCGCGAGCAGGUGAGGUUUUCACUUGUAUUUCCAAAGCCUGGAAUCUGACAUUGCCUCGUACCGCAGACAGUAUGGGCUCUGAUACAAAAGGCAGCGACUGCUGGCAACGACUGCUCAUAUUGUAUAUAUGAAGCUAUAUAUACAUGGGCUGUGGCAACUGCCUAAUGCCACAUCAUCCUAACUGCCUAGCUAAGCAUCUACCUGAGCAUCUACUCUCAACACUCCCACUCAGGCGUGUCUACAAACUAAGACAAAGCCUGAACAUAAGAUGCUCAGCAUGCAUACAACUGAUGAGGAAAACCUGCAAAAAGAAAAAACUCAUCUGAACUGGUGGUACUCCACUGACUCCCACUCAAAGCGACUACAUCUUGUUGCUCUAGGGCUUGCUGCCUCUGCUACUCUUGGCUGCUUUGCCAUCACUCCUUUGGCUGUUGCUGCUCCUCUCUUGGAGCUCUUUUGCCACUGCUGGGCUUCUCAGCCAACUCUGCCGCUGCUAUCUGCUGCCGCUCACUUGGCUGCUGCUGCUCCUCUCUUCGAGCAUCUUGGCCACUCCUGCCGCCGUUCUGCUUCUCGGCCUGCUGAGUCACUGCUCUGCUGCUCCUGGGCUUCUUGGCUGCUCUGCUGCUCCUUUCUUGGAGCAUAUCAGCAUCUUCUGCCGCUCCAGGGCUUCUGAGUCGCUACUAUCUGCCACUCCUCGCUGCUGGUAUGGCUCUGCCAUUGCUUUGUUGCUGCUCUCUAGGCUACUCUGCUUCUGCCGUUGGCAUCUGGAAGCUUCUUCUUCUUCUUCAUCCUUCACAGGUCCUCAAGAUCUGUGCUCCGAUACCAUGAUACAAAAGGCAGCGACUGCUGGCAACGACUGCUCAUAUUGUAUAUAUGAAGCUAUAUAUACAUGGGCUGUGGCAACUGCCUAAUGCCACAUCAUCCUAACUGCCUAGCUAAGCAUCUACCUGAGCAUCUACUCUCAACAGGCUCUUGGCAAUGUUGCUGGCGACUCUCCGAAGUGCCGAGAUCUCGUCUUGAAUAGCAAUGCCAUGAUGCCGUUGCUAGCACAGCUGAACGAGAAUGCGAAGCUGUCUAUGCUGCGCAACGCAACGUGGGCGCUAUCAACCUUUUUUCGUGACAAGUCGCAGCCGAACUUUGAGCAGGUAUGCGUGCGAGGCAUGUCGAUACAAAUUGCGAUCGUUGGUCGGUGUUGCUUCAUGCUGAAUAAAUUAUCUGGUACAGAGAACUCAUGAAUCUGUGCUGUGUUUGCCUUUCAGCUCCACGAGGAGGUGGCUGAAAACAUUGAAUGCCUUGCUCGAGACGCCCAGAUCCUUGGCAUCCCGCAGCGCAGUCGAGACCUGCUUUAUCUGCUCUAGAAAAGCUGAUUCAUUCGACUGAUGUGGUAGUCCUUACUGAUGCAUGCUGGGCUUUGUCAUCCGUAUCCGAUGGCAUAAACGAUGAGAAGCUGUCAUUGAGGCCGGCGUGUGUCCACGUCUUGUGAGUUUAAGUCGUGUCUUUAGCUCUGACUUUUAACUGGGCUGACGUUCCUGGUUUCAGGUAUCCGUCACCGAAUGUUCUCACACUGUAGAGGCUUGAUUGAGUUCUAAGCUGGAAGGCAUCACUGUGAGCCCACUCUAUACUUACGACGAAAUCACUUUUGUUUUUUGCAAGAAGCAGCCACCAUGGAGUUCGUUGCAAAUGUGGCUGCCUUUGAGUGCUUCAGCAAACGUGGAUGCAGGAACUUGGUCGCUCAACUCUACUACCAUGAAAAAACUUAUGGCGUGAUAAUACCAUGCCAGGUCUGUUCCUGCGAGCAGCUAGAUCAUUGCACUUUGGUAUUGACAGAUCAAUUUCUGGCACGCUUCUCUCCUUUGGGCAAUCUUUGCAAGCAGCUCAAUCUGGAAGGAGUGAAAGAGAACGAGGUUCUCUUGCAACAACAACAGCAACAGCUAUUUGAAGUCACGAGGACCUCACUGCUGGUGCGGAGUUGUGGACAUGCAGGCUGAAGGAUGGCAAGCAGCUCAUCGCGAAGGUUUGUGGUGGCAGUGAAGGUACUUGCAAAGUUGCAGGUGUUGCCAUUGUCCCAUUCCUGUUUGUAUGUUAUGCAGUGUAGAGUGAAGUUUAGGGCAGUUUCAAUGUGGUUUUCCCAGGGUAGUUUGGAUCCCUCCUAAUUACCAACUUUUGAGUGUAGGUGAUGUUGUCCUACUUGAUAGUGCGCCAGGAUUCUAGGGUGGUGUUGUAGCUAGCAAUACCGAUAAGCCAUUACGGGUUGAUGGUCAAUAAAUAGUGUUGUAAUUUUGUGUCAUGCCCCUUCUCAAGCCAAUGAUCUGGGACAUCUAUGGUAUUUUCGUGGAGUGUGUCAAAAUCCAUGCGUAGAUCUCUUUUCCAGAACCACAGAUUGUGCCACCACCCUUUACUGGUGUCCUCAGCAAGGUAUCUUAAGUAGUGUAUAUGAUGUUGAGGAUGUAUUGCAUUGUGUUUAUCUAGACAAGCUAGAUUCCAUAACUACAAUCUCAAUCCACUUUGUUGCAACCAAAUUCAGCAUUAAGGACAAAUGGUUAAGUUGUUCCAUUUUUGCUGUAGUCCAGAUAUAUUAUGUAUGUGCAUCCAUAAGAAAAUAUUAGCUUGUGACUGCUUGAAUGCAUUUUAUUGCCCUAGCCUUCCACAAAUUCUUUUAGUGGACCAUAUACCCAAGGUACUUGUAGUUUUCUACUCAUUAUUGUCAUUUCUGUAUGGUGGACAGCUAAAUACUAUGACUUGUGUUUUUGUGGGUUGAUAUGGGAUACCUUUGCUUGGCACCUAUCAUGCAUUCUACUGGUUGACUUAGGUAUUUUACAAGAAUUGUUGUAUAGAGCUGUUGAAUGGCUUGUAACAGCUUCUGGAGUGUUAGGCACCACAAUUGAUCACUUUUUUUGCCAAUUGGAUUAGGGUGUAAAGGAUAGGAUUUCCUUGUUAAAAUAGUUCCCUUAUUGAAUUCUAUCCAAAAUAGUUGCUUCUUCUAGUAUGUCUUAUGUUCAUGCAUAUAACUGGAUGAACUAACACUUUCUACUUUAUAUUUCUCCACAGCUAGAACAUGGCUACCAUUGUUUGCUUUUUAUCACUCCAAAAUAUGGCUAAAAUAUAACUUGAUUAUAAUUGGCAAGAGUCUGAACAUUCCGCCUAAUCUGAGUCACUAAUAGUGUGGAGUCUAAGUAUCUCAAACCAAAGGAUGAAGUACCACAUAAGUAACAAAAAAAUUGUUUUACAACCAUCUAAUGUUGUUUAUUUAUUUGGCUUACCAGGCUUAUGGAGUAAAAUAGAUUAGGUCUUAUACAAACCACAUAAUAUUGAAAUAUGGUAUAGUGGCCAUCUCUUGUUUUACUUGCUCUAUCAAAGGAGAACUUUCACAAGUGAGUUUUAGACUUGUGAGCAUAUGUAUUAGAGUAGGAGUACUACACUUAUAGAAAACCAUUGGAGAAUGUCCUUAAUGUAUUUGCUCUAGUGGAGAACAACAGAGUUAUCCUUGGGAUUUUGAGUCAAUAGUAUCUCAAAAUGAGAUGAAAAGACCUUUUUAAUCUUAGCUAAAAACUUAUAUUGUUGCAAAUGAGUACAUAAUCAUUGACAUAAACAAUAAUUUAGAUUAUGUUUUUUUAUUGUAGUAUAUAUGACCAUGGGAUGAGAUUUAGAUAUACUAUCAUUAUAGAUCCUUAAAACCUUAGGGAAUAAAUAAGGAUAAAAUAGCUACUAAGACUUUUGUUUACCUUAAGGGGAGAAAGAUAAAGUAUAGGUAUUGGAGUAAAUAAGGUUUAUUUUAGUCUGUAAAUUAAUUUAAUGAGUCUCUAAAUGUAGUUCUCUUGUCUAAGAACUUUAUAUCCUUCUAAUAAUCCAUCCCAACUACUUGUGAAUAGCCCUUGGCCACAAGAGCUUUGCCUUGUAACAAGAGAUUAAAUCAUCUGGAUUUACCUUAAUUUAUAAGGAUUUUACCAAAUUUUUGUUGCAAAGUGAUUGUGGGUAUUGAAAGUUAUAUGUUGGCAAGUCUUUUUAGAUAUUCUUCUCUUAUUGUCACAAUAACAAAAGAUCAAUAUUGCUAAUUCUUAGUCCCUUUUAUUCAAGUGUUAAUAAACUAAACUUAAUAUUUAUAUAUAUCUUCACAUUAGGCCAUGGUAUGCUAAAAUAAUGCUAAAUUCCAUUUGGCUCUGUUGGACUUCCUAGAAGCUCACCCAACCCAAUAUCACUUAAACCCAAGGACAUUUAACUCUAAAUAUCUUAAAACCCUUAACUAAUUGGGAAAGAAAAUGCACUCUUAUUUAUGGGCCCUUUUCCUAAACCCUUAUAAAUCAUCUCUCAAAUUAUUUCUUUUUAAUUGCUUACAAUCCAUUAUGUUUCUUUAUAAGUUCACACCUUUGUGAAUGGAAGUUGAGAGCUAUAGCUCUCUUAAGAUUCCCACUCUUUUAACAUCCUACCCUCGAAUCAAACUUAACCAAACCAAAUUAUACCAUCUAUUAUAAGUAAAAAAGGAUGUAUGUUCUAGAAGGGGAAUUAAGGAAAGUAGCUUUAAAAGAGUGUUAUGAUGGACCUCUUGCGGGACACGGCAGAGUGCCCAAAAUGAUGGGCUUAUUCAAGAGGAAGUAUCACUGGCUAGGUAUGGUUAAAGACAUUCAAGACUAUGUAAAGACAUAUUCAACAUAUCAGUAGGUUAAAGCCAUGACUAAAGCUAGUGGGGGCUUGUUACAAAGCAUCCCAAUUCCAAAUCAUCCCUAGAAAUGUCUUAUGAUGGACUUCAUCACAGGAUUUUUCCCAAGUGAGGGGUUUGAUAUGAUAUUCGUGGUGGUGGACUGAUUUUCAAAGAUGGCACAUUUUAUACCCACCACAACGAAAGUGGAUGUGGAAAGUGUGGCAAAGCUAUUCUUUGAACAAGUGGUUCGAGUGCGGGAAAGGCUAAAGGAGAUAAUUUCAGAUCAAGAUAAGAUCUUCACUAAUAGGUUCUAAAGAAGUCUCCUGGAACAGUAUCGCACCAAGUUGAAAUUCAGCACAAUCUAUCACCCAUAGACAAGUAUUGGGUAUUAAAUCAAGUUGGAUGACACUAACACUUCUUGGUAGAUGGACAAACAGAAAGGGUGAAUAGGCAGCUGGAGGAUUAUUUGCAAUGCUAUGUCUUUGGAGACCAGACUGAUUGGGUAAAUCAUUUGGGACUUGCAAAAAUGUGCUAUAACAACUUACCACACUCAAGUAUUAGGGUGAGUUCAUGGGAAGUCAUCAAUGGGCAAGCUAUUGAAGGUCCUAUAUAAUUCUGCGUGGCCAAGUAUCAUGAAGAGUUACCCGCAGUGGAGGUAUUCACAGCGGAAAGAUUCAACAUUUGGAAUCUAAUAAGGGAUUCUUUGGAACAAGUUCAACAAAAGCAAACCAAGUAUGCAAACAAGAAGUGCCGAGAUGUAGAGUUCUAACCUAGGGAGAAGGUGUGGCUGAACACCAAGAACCUAAGGCUACCAAGUGGGAUCAGCUGGAAGUUGACCCAAAGGUAAAAUGCAUGUAUUCUUGGAAAUGAACUGAUCUUGAGUUCCUUAAGCAGGUUCGUGGGGCCUUACAAGUGUAAGUAACCAAAGGGAACGACUUGAGAGACGAUCUAUAGGGGUUCAAAUAUAAAGGGAAAGGGCCCAUGAACAAAAGUGCACCCCCUUUUCAAUUGGUUAAGGGUCUUGGGAUAUUUGGGGUUAAACGUCCUUGGGUUUGAAUAAUACUGGGUUGGGUGGUAAAGUGGCUUACCGCCUCCAACUUCCUCGAGAAAUGGGGAAAAUGCACUUAAUAUUCCAUAUGAACUUAUUCAAACCGUACUUUGAGGAUCCACUUUACAAGGACCAAGUAAAACCUUUAUCUAAGGUUAUCCAAGGGAAAGAGGAAUACAAAGUUGAGGCUAUCCUCAAUGCGCGCAAGAGCAAGCAACAAGGACGCAAAGUAAAGGAGUUCCAUGUAAAGUGGAAAGGAUUUCUAUACUGCGAAGCAACAUGGGAACCAAAGGACAAUCUAGCGAACGCAUGAGAUCUAGUGGAGGAAUUUAUGUAAGGCAGAACUCUAUGUACUUAUAUAAAGUUUAAUUAAAGUAUCAAUUUGUGAAGUUGAGCAAUGGCAUAUGUUGGGACCUAUAGUUGUGCCAAAGGUAAGCUAAUUAACAUAGGUUAGCUAUAUCGACCAAGCAUAGGAAACUACGCUUGACUCUCCACAAGGAUGUAAAUGUAUUUUACAAAAGUUGGGUUCAAGUCUCAACCCUCUAGUAAAGCAAAGUUGGGUUCAAGUCCCAACUUUAUACUAGGGUGUGGUGAGGUGAGGUGUGUAGGAAUACUUAUACUCUAUUGUCAUGGGCUCUUGGCUGGGGAGGCUAACUUAGGCACACCGCUAAGUGGGGGGAUGCCCCGGGAGACAUGGUCAACAAGUCAUAGGAUGUAAAAGAUGUGUUUAAUGUGGGUGUUGAACUUUUUCUAUGGGUGGUGGAGUUGUAAAGAACCAACUCCCUAAAGUGUCGAAGGCUAAAGGAUCUCUGAAAGCACGACCAAAAUGAUAAAGAGUUCAUCAGAUGAAACCGAGUCUGAGAUUGAGUCUGAGAUCGACUCUAAGACCGAGUUUAAGACUGAGUCCGAGACCAACUCUAAGACUGAGUUCAAGACCGAGUCCGAGACCGAGUUUGCGAUCCAAUAUUGGAUCUGAGACCAAGUCCGAGAUCGAGUCCGAGACAGGGUUUGAGGUCGGGUUCGAGAUGGAGUCCGAGAUGGAGUCCGAGACCGAGUCCAAAGUCAAGUCCAAAGUCAAGUCCAAGAUCGAGUCUGAGACCGAGUCCGAAAACUAAUAUAGGUCAUGGGGUGAAAGGCCAAAGCGUGUGUCUCCUGGGGGGGGGGGGGGAGGGGGCUGCAAGGGGUUCCAAAAGUAUAGUAAGGAUAGUGAGGUCCAGAAACUAGUCUUGAAGGAACUCUCCAGUAGUGCUUCCAAACUAACUUGAGGUUGAGACUGAGGCGAAGGGGCUUUGGGUGGGAGUGAGCAUGGAUUCGGGUGGUGCCGGAGGCCACCCAAGGAAGUGCUCAAGAAUAGCUCCUACUCCCAGAAGGGAAAUUGACUGUGGUGCUCCCGGCUCAUGUGGAGUGGUGCCCCACUUGAGUACCUUGCGGCUGUAGUGCAUGUGGUUUUAAUCCUUUAUCAUAUGGGGCUUUACCAUAAGAUAACACCAUGAAGCGGAACCUAAACCCUCUUUAUGCCAUGUGUCACAUGCCACGUGUCCAUAGAACAGUGGUGUGGAACCCGAGGUUCAAGGCCUUGGGCCACUGAACGAAGGAACAAUGCCAAACUCCCAAGCAUGGAGCCAAGGAGUGAUGAAACCGAACCAUGGAGCAAUUCUCGAGCAUACAGCCCAAGGAGCGAAGGGACAAGAGCCCAAAGCGAUUGGAACAGUCCUAGAGCAACCAGCAUCCCAAUGCCAGGACCAACAUACAAAACGGAGCCCAACAAGGUUUGGCGCUAUUUCAGCAUACCAGUGGCCUAACGCAAGGACAUGGGUACUCCACUAGCUAGCAUGGUGUGGAACUUGGGCUUAGACCCAAGUUGGAUGCAGAACAAAGACAGACACGCAAGCAGGAGCUAGACUAUGCCUACUAUACAUUUGGAACCCUUUACAGAUUAAAUACAUACACGAAGAAAUGAUUUGCAAUGAGGUGUGAUAUCAUUACUUAUAUUCACUUCAUGCAAUCAAGAGUUUUUAUUUUGAUGCAUGUUAAUUAUGAUGGUCUUACAAGUGGUGAGUCAUAAGUGGAUAGUGGUGAAAUGCUAAAUCAUUUUGUUUAGACUUGCUAUUGCAAUACUUAAUUCUUUUCCAAAGAACUUUGUUACUAUUCCUUAGGUAACUUGGUGUUAAAUUAAUUUUGAGUUUUGUCAAGUAUAAACUUGCUGAUGUUAUAAUUGAAGUUAGUGGUGUUAUAUAUAUUAUAAAUCUUUGUAAGUGAAAUAUGAUAUUUAUAUUGCAUUUUGUUACUUGGAGUUGACACUUAAUACUAUAGUAAUGCAAGGCUUGGGGCAUAUCCCAGGUAGGGGAUAUUUCCUCAGCAGUCUCAAUACAAUAUCUUCUCUUAGCUUACUGGCUAUUUCGAAAAGUACAGGUGUCAAGAACAGUCAUUCCAAAAAUGCAAUCUUAGUGUUUUUGGAAAUGAAAUCUAGAGGAAUUCUUCUAGACUCCAUCACUUAGAAAAAACUUUGCAAAGCUGGGUCUCUUCUUGUGGCAAAUCUGAUUAUGAGAAACUAACAUCAACAUGAUGGUAGCUAUUGAAUGUAUGGGAAAUGCUCUGAAUUGUGGGCUGCCGAUUGUGUGUUUUUCUCAAGGUUUGUUUGUACCACUGUGUCUUGGAAUGCCGUGAUUCAGCAUAUGCUCAAAUGGAAAUAUUUGCAAAGUGUUGGGCUUCUUUAUGGACAUAUUUUUGGACAGUGUUUCUCCACACAUUCUUAGUUCUCAUUCAUUCAUUCAUAUUCAUUCAUAAGUUGUUUAUAUUUAUAUAUAUUUACAUACAGUGUUUUGCCAAGUGAGGUUUUAUUCUUAGUUCUAUGCAGCCAUGGAGGCUGGUUCAGAAGGCUUGAGUUUGUUUUGUUCAGGCUCAUGUGUAGCAGAGCUUGGUGCAAAGGCUGGAUGGGGAACGCUUGUUGCACGUGAAGAAAAUAUUGGGGCUUGGACUUUGGCAUUGGCAGCAUUUAUUAGUGAGUGUAGACAGUGCUAAAUAUGCUCUUAAUUUCAUAUGCUUUGUGUAGAUAAUUAUGUAAAUUCUAGUUAUAUUAAAAUCAAUUCAUACAUUCCUUCUCUCACCUACAAGGGAAAACAAAAAUGACUUCUAUAUUGAAGAGUUGCUUGAUUAAUAGAUUGGGAAGCCUCAAAGUGAAAGCUCUGGAUGGCAAUGCGAAUGAGGAGCCAAGAAAAGUGGAAAUUGUUCCCGAGGGAUGGCAAAUCUUGAAGCCCAUUCCCGAGAUCAACAACCUUGGCUCUGCUUCGUCAUCCAAAGGGAUUGGCAUUGGAACUCCAGUAGUAGUCACUGAGGCUCCUCAAAUCCUCAAGACUGCCGAGCCAAUGCCAAUGCUGCGCAAAAACGAUGGAGUAAUUCGCCCUGGGGAUGUUGGCAGGUAAAUCUCUACCACAAAUUCCUUUUUGUACUCAGGAAAAACUGUGCAGGAUAAUUGAUAGGAGACCAAAGAAUGUCUGGGCUGUGAGGUUCGCCAUCGGAGCUUAUCUAAUCGAUGGGAAGUGUUUCAAAGAGUUCAAGCCAUGAAAUUUCAAUCUUCCUUUGUGGAGCUACAACUAAAAUCGUUGAUUAAUUUACAACAACGAACCAUUCAUGGCCGCAGUGUAAUAUAUCUGUGAUCGUCUUUGUCAGGUUUCCACACAGAUUAAACGGGAUCUCUUGUCAUGCCUCGGGAUCCAUUGAUUCGCAGGUAAGCUACGAGCUGGCCGUGUUUUUUAGCAUUCCUUCGACGGGUUGGAUCAUCCACCUGCCAAAUGCUUCCAGCAGAUCACCUCUUCCAGAAGCAGCUUCAAUCUCAACCAAACACAAAGAAUCUAAACCCCGGAGAUGCCCGAUGCGACCUGGGCCUCGUUGAUCUUUUGGGCUCUCUUACCUUUCAGAGAAAAGGUAUAAAAUAAACCUGUCGAUUUGUGGAGUUUUUCCAGCUUAAGUCUAUUUUUUCCUAAAGGUGUUUGGGUCGUUAAUUCGAGUAAUGGGCUCUUACGAAUAUUGCGUCUGGCACUUCCGAUCACACAACGGUCGUUAUAAACCAUGUUCGCAGUUUUAAGCCUUGGAACCUGACAUUGUCUCGUACUACAAGCAGAAUGGGCUCUUGGUAAUGUCGCUGGCGACUCUCCAAAGUGCCGAGACCUCGUCCUGAAUAACAAUGCCAUGACGCCGUUGCUAGCACAGCUGAACGAAAAUGCGGUGCUGUCUAUGCUGCGCACCGCAACGUGGACGCUAUCAACCUUUUGUCGUGGCAAGCCGCAGCCGAACUUUGAGCAGGUAUGCAUGCGGGUCCUUUGUAGGCAUGUCGAUACAGAUUUUGG